GUAUACCUCCGUCGUAACCUUACCAGAUGAAAGCCUAACAGUAAGCCCAAGGACCUUAGCGCCAACACGUCAGGUCAAGGUGCAGCUAAUAAAAUGGAAAGUAAUGGGCUACAAUUUCUAUCAUAGAACAAACAAAAUACUACAUGAAACCUAGUAUGAAGGCGGAUUUAGCAGUAAAUAAGGAAUAGAGAGCCCUAUUAAACCCGGCCCUGGGAUGUGUACAAACCGCCCGUCACCCUCUUCGAUAACACCCCACCCCGCAUCAUAACCCACGCUCAUACCUUAGAAGAGGCAAGUCGAAACAUGGUAAGUGUACUGGAAAGUGCACUUGGAACAACAAAAUGUAGCUUAAUAAAAGCCCCUCGCUUACACCGAGAAGAUGCCUGUGCACCCGGAUCAUUUUGAGCCCCCCACCUAGCCCACAACCCGACGCAUGUUAAACUACCAAACCCUAACAAAGCAAAACAUUUUAACUUCAUAGUAAAGGCGAUCGAAACUUAUCUAGGCGCUUUAGAAAAAGUACCGCAAGGGAAAAUUGAAAUAAAAAUGAAAUANACCAAAAGCUUAUAAUAACAGAGACACUAACUCGUACCUUUCGCAUCAUGGCCUAGCCAGUUUUACCCAACCAAAAUGAAAUUUCAGUCUGACCCCCCGAAACU
rnacentral:rRNA from 1 species